CCAGACUCCUACGGGAGGCAGCAGUGGGGGAUAUUGCACAAUGGGGGAAACCCUGAUGCAGCGACGCCGCGUGAGUGAAGAAGUAUUUCGGUAUGUAAAGCUCUAUCAGCGGGGAAGAAGAUGACAGUACCCGAAUAAGAAGCCCCGGCUAACUACGUGCCAGCAGCCGCGGUAAUACGUAGGGGGCAAGCGUUAUCCGGAUUUACUGGGUGUAAAGGGAGCGUAGACGGCUGAGCAAGUCUGAAGUGAAAGCCCGGGGCCCAACCCCGGGACUGCUUUGGAAACUGCACAGCUGGAGUACAGGAGGGGCAGGCGGAAUUCCUGGUGUAGCGGUGAAAUGCGUAGAUAUCGCGCAGAACUCCGAUUGCGAAGGCAGCAUGCCGGCUCCACACUGACGCUGAGGCACGAAAGCGUGGGUAUCGAACAGGAUUAGAUACCCGAGUAUCC
rnacentral:rRNA from 1 species